rnacentral:rRNA from 1 species
CCUGCGGAGGGAUCAUUACCGAGUUUACAACUCCCAAACCCCUGUGAACAUACCUUAAUGUUGCCUCGGCGGAUCAGCCCGCGCCCCGUAAAACGGGACGGCCCGCCAGAGGACCCAAACUCUAAUGUUUCUUAUUGUAACUUCUGAGUAAAACAAACAAAUAAAUCAAAACUUUCAACAACGGAUCUCUUGGUUCUGGCAUCGAUGAAGAACGCAGCAAAAUGCGAUAAGUAAUGUGAAUUGCAGAAUUCAGUGAAUCAUCGAAUCUUUGAACGCACAUUGCGCCCGCUGGUAUUCCGGCGGGCAUGCCUGUUCGAGCGUCAUUUCAACCCUCAAGCCCCCGGGUUUGGUGUUGGGGAUCGGCUCUGCCUUACGGCGGUGCCGCCCCCGAAAUACAUUGGCGGUCUCGCUGCAGCCUCCAUUGCGUAGUAGCUAACACCUCGCAACUGGAACGCGGCGCGGCCAUGCCGUAAAACCCCAACUUCUGAAUGUUGACCUCGGAUCAGGUAGGAAUACCCGCUGAACUUAA